AGUGAUGGGAUGCCCUCGGCGCUUUAGGCCACCGCUUCGGUUAUAGAGAUUGAGGUGAAACCCCGGGCCUGGGAACCGGACGCAGGCAAAGGGGGAAGAUGGAAGCGUGGCGCUGUGUGAGGAAGAGCUACGGCCACUGUGUGGUGGGAAGAGGCCAAUACCCCAUGUUUUCCCUUCACUUGAGGAGUCUGGGCAGAGACUGGACUACACCGUGGGAGAAUCUGCAAAGGUGUUGCUGGAACAGACAUAUUUCUAGUUGUAUGAGGUGGCCUGGACAUUACUCUCAAGUUCCUUACCCAUACUUCAGUAGUAGGCAUUUUUCACUAAAUUGGAGACCACCCUGUUUGUUUGACUCUAGAACUCAGUUCCAGUACUGUAACUGGAGACCUGACAACCUGAGCCAGACAUCUUUGAUUCACCUCUCUAGUUACGUCAUGAAUGCUGAGGGAGAUGAGCCUUCAUCAAAACGAAGAAAACACCAAGGCGUGAUAAAGCGGAAUUGGGAAUAUAUGUGUAGCCAUGAUAAAGAAAAAACGAAGAUCCUAGGAGAUAAAAAUGUUGAUCCCAAAUGUGAAGACAGUGAGAACAAGUUUGCUUUUCAGUGAUGUCCUAUAAUAUACUUUCACAAGAUUUAUUGGAAGAUAACUCUCACCUUUAUAGACAUUGCCGGCGGCCAGUAUUACACUGGAGUUUUAGGUUUCCCAAUAUUCUGAAAGAAAUUAAACACUUUGAUGCAGACGUACUUUGUUUUCAAGAAGUUCAAGAAGAUCAUUAUGGAGCAGAGAUCAGGCCAAGUUUGGAAUCACUGGGUUAUCACUGUGAAUAUAAGAUGCAGACAGGAAGGAAACCUGAUGGCUGUGCUAUUUGCUUCAAACAUUCCAAAUUUUCACUCUUGUCAGUGAACCCAGUGGAAUUCUACCACCCUGAUAUUUCUCUGUUGGACAGAGACAAUGUUGGAUUAGUUUUACUCUUACAGCCCAAAAUUCCAUGUGCUGCCUCUCCUGCGAUCUGUGUAGCAAAUACGCAUCUACUGUAUAAUCCAAGGCGAGGUGAUAUUAAGCUGACCCAAUUGGCAAUGCUACUGGCAGAGAUUUCCAGUGUUGCCCACCAGAAAGAUGGCAGCUUCUGCCCUAUUGUUAUGUGUGGUGACUUUAAUUCUGUUCCUGGUUCUCCACUAUAUAGUUUCAUAAAGGAAGGAAAAUUGAAUUAUGAAGGACUUGCCAUAGGAUAGGUAUCUGGCCAGGAACAGUCUUCACGGGGACAAAGAAUUUUAUCUAUUCCAAUUUGGCCCCCAAACCUAGGUAUCUCACAGAACUGUGUGUAUGAGGUACAGCAGGUACCAAAAGUAGAAAAGACAGAUAGUGAUCUGACACAAACACAGCCAACGCAAACAGAGGUCCUAGUGACAGCUGAAAAAUUAUCUUCAAAUUUACAGCACCAUUUCAGCUUGUCAUCUGUUUAUUCACAUUACUUUCCUGACACUGGAAUUCCAGAAGUGACCACCUGUCAUUCCCAAAGUGCCAUAACUGUGGAUUAUAUUUUCUGCUCUGCAGAAAAGGAAGAUGUUGCUGGGCACCCAGAAGCUGAAGUUGCUUUGGUUGGUGGCUUGAAACUUCUAGCUAGACUGUCAUUUCUUACAGAACAAGACUUAUGGACUGUUAAUGGACUUCCAAAUGAAAAUAACUCUUCAGAUCAUCUGCCAUUGUUGGCAAAGUUCAGACUUGAGCUCUGACUCUGCUUUGAUCACAUACUAAUUUUCUUUCCAAUUUGUAUUGUUUUUCAAAGAAUGUAAAGUUCUGAAGUGUAUGCAUGUUGUUUAUUUUUGCACCGUGGAGUUUCUGAAGAGGUUAACGUUAGAUGCUCUGAAACUCCGUAUCAGAACAAACAACUUUAUAACCAUUUUU